UUAGAGUAGGUAAUUUAUAUUUAUUUUGCAAAAAUAAAUCAGAUACUUUAUUUGUAUCUAUCUAUU
rnacentral:tRNA from 1 species